UACAUGUGGGGCAAGCGUUGUUCGGAAUUACUGGGCAUAAAGGGUGCGUAGGUGGGUUGGUAAGUCAGUGGUGAAAUCUCCGUGCUUAACAUGGAAACUGCCAUUGAUACUACUGAUCUUGAAUUUUCUGGAGGUAAGCGGAAUAUGUCAUGUAGCGGUGAAAUGCUUAGAUAUGACAUAGAACACCAAUUGCGAAGGCAGCUUACUACAGGGAUAUUGACACUGAGGCACGAAAGCGUGGGGAUCAAACAGG
rnacentral:rRNA from 1 species